UACGUAGGGUGCAAGCGUUGUCCGGAAUUAUUGGGCGUAAAGAGCGUGUAGGCGGCCCGAUUAGUCCGCUGUGAAAGUCCAGGGCUCAACCCUGGAAUGCCGGUGGAUACUGUCGGGCUAGAGUCCGGAAGGGGCGAGUGGAAUUCCUGGUGUAGCGGUGAAAUGCGUAGAUAUCAGGAGGAACACCUGUGGCGAAAGCGGCUCACUGGACCAUAACUGACGCUGAUGCACGAAAGCUAGGGGAGCAAACAGG
rnacentral:rRNA from 1 species